rnacentral:rRNA from 1 species
UACAGAGGGUGCGAGCGUUGUUCGGAAUUACUGGGCGUAAAGCGCGCGCAGGCGGCCUUUUAAGUCUGACGGUGAAAUGCCGGGGCUCAACCCCGUGCCCGCCGGAGAUACUGGGAGGCUGGAGACGAGUAGAGGCAAGCGGAAUUCCGGGUGUAGCGGUGGAAUGCGUAGAGAUCCGGAAGAACACCGGAGGCGAAGGCGGCUUGCUGGGCUUUGUCUGACGUUGAGGCGCGAAAGCUAGGGGAGCAAACGGG